UCACCCCUACAUGACCGACCAUGGGGAAAAGGGAAAGAUAGGGAGGAAAUGCAUCACCCCUUGCUACCUUAAUGGCAGCCUUCCCGACGAAGGGUGUAGCAUGAGGUAGAAGGCUCAUCGACGAGUGGUGGUGACUAUGGAUCAUGACCAACGAUAGUAGAUUCUGAUGGAAAAAACAUAGAGCACUUGGGGAAGAAGGAAGGUAUUUUGGGGGGUGGUGCUCGAUUGUGGAGGCAUGGUGGGUGCCAGAGAUGAGGA
rnacentral:lncRNA from 1 species